ensembl:lncRNA
GUCAUGUCUUUCCUUAAGAAAGGAAAAUCGGGGCUCAAAAACGAAAAGAAAAGACGAUUAAAGAGAGAAAGGCAAAUGAGGGCAAGCAGUUGCUCACUCAGAUUUUUGAAAAGAAAGUUUCAGACCCUGCAGCAGCAGGCCCCUCAUCAUGGCCUGGUGAAAGCAGUGACAGUGAGACAAGAGUUCUAGCUUUCAUUUGACCACUGGACAAAGAUCAAGUUGGAUCAUUCUGAAAAAUUUUUGGUCUGCCGGAGAAACCCAUCCUCCUUCUCAAUGGAAACGUCAUUCUGUUACCCCAGUUUUCUACCUGACACAGAAAGCAUAAUGUCUGUGAUGCAUGAACUGAAGGAAAAGAACUUAACAGACAACACCCUUCUCUCCAACUUGGAAUUUGCUGAGAGAUUCAUUAGAGACCAUCCUCUAAAACCGUACUCCAAAUUGCUAGUCAAAGGAAAUUACUUUUGUGUACAAAUUGGUCAGAAUCCCUCGCAAGUUUUUACUGUAACAUCAGAAAACAACCAAACCUAUGUCAAUGUCUUUAUAGGCAACCAGUGUGGUGAAAAAAUCAAAACGUCUUUAAUUGAGGCCAGGCACUUUUUCAACCACUCCUGCCAGGAUGAGAUUAAAUCCUGUUUUACACAGGCACAAGAAGCUGUUACUAAAGAGGUUCUGAUAAGAUUGCACAUCAAAUGCAACAGGUUCUCAGUCACAUAUGCCACUCAAUUUAGUGGUCCAUGUGCAACUGUGGAAACGAAAUGUCAGUUAAAGCUAGAGAACCUCACUGCUGAGGGUUU